rnacentral:rRNA from 1 species
GAUGAACGCUGGCGGCGUGCCUAAUACAUGCAAGUCGAGCGAACGGACGAGAAGCUUGCUCCUCUGAUGUUAGCGGCGGACGGGUGAGUAACACGUGGAUAACCUACCUAUAAGGCUGGGAUAACUUCGUGAAACCGUAGCUAAUACCGGAUAAUAUUUUGAACCGCAUGGUUCAAAAGUGAAAGACGGUCUUGCUGUCACUUAUAGAUGGAUCCGCGCUGCAUUAGCUAGUUGGUAAGGUAACGGCUUACCAAGGCAACGAUGCAUAGCCGACCUGUGAGGGUGAUCGGCCACACUGGAACUGAGACACGGUCCAGACUCCUACGGGAGGCAGCAGUAGGGAAUCUUCCGCAAUGGGCGAAAGCCUGACGGAGCAACGCCGCGUGAGUGAUGAAGGUCUUCGGAUCGUAAAACUCUGUUAUUAGGGAAGAACAUAUGUGUAAGUAACUGUGCACAUCUUGACGGUACCUAAUCAGAAAGCCACGGCUAACUACGUG